rnacentral:rRNA from 1 species
UACGGGGGGAGCAAGCGUUGUUCGGAUUUACUGGGCGUAAAGGGCGCGUAGGCGGCCACUGCAAGUCGGUUGUGAAAUCUCCGGGCUUAACCCGGAAAGGUCAGCCGAUACUGCAGGGCUAGAGUGCAGAAGGGGCAACUGGAAUUCUCGGUGUAGCGGUGAAAUGCGUAGAUAUCUGGAGGAACACCGGUGGCGAAGGCGGCAUCCUGGACCGGUAUUGACGCUGAGGAGCGAAAGCCAGGGGAGCAAACGGG